rnacentral:lncRNA from 1 species
GGGGAACACAUCAUUUUAGAAGAUGUUCUGCACCCCAAAAAUACCUUCAUCUGCUUAUAUAUUGCACAGAAUGGCAUGUCUGCUCUUGCUGGUUUUUCACCGUGACAGUCCAAGCUCUUCAUGCUGCCUUGUGGUUGAACAGCAUUGAGAAAACACCAUUGGUAACCAGAACUGAGAGCACCAGCAAGUACAGCUGCUCCACUUGUGAGCAGUCCACAGCCACUUGUCCACUGGCUCCUGCUGAAAAGAUGCCCUUUUUCUUUCUCACUGAGCUGUGAAACAGAGGUCCUGACUGUCUACAGCCAUGAAAAAUCCCAUGACUCUCCAAGUGUCAGAGACUGGAGACUUAAAAAAAUUGAUGUCAUAUCACUGCUUUCUGCUGCCUUAACAAUUAUAUUCCUUCUGAACCAUCUUAGCCUAACUGCUGGGGAGUCCCACUGUCAGGAUUACACAGAUGUUUUAUUUCCUGCUAAAGGUGGGUGAAAUAAUAAUCACCAGCUCUGCUUCAUUGGCCACCAUGUGGUCUGGAAAGGCACCAUAUGCGCAGCUUGCAGACUGCUGCAGACAGGAGGCUUGGGGGCAUUAUUUAUUAUUUGCCUAAUCAAUUUAAAUACUGUAUUUCUUUCAGAAAGCACAUUUCUAGUCUUUAUAAGGAGAUAUGUACAGGACUCAUCAAGCAGCCUUCCCUAUUGAAGUGCAUCUUCUGUUUAAACAGCCAAUAUUCUGCUUGCACAGCAUAUGGGGCUAGAAGCAAAGACCUUGCCCUUGGAGCUGCACUGUGCUCACGAGCUUUGCUCAUCACAAUCAGUUGUAAAGGUUGUUGAAGUGCAAUCCCAAUAACAACAAUUUGCAUUUCAUACUUUUGAAGACCUCUCCUUGAAGGGAGUGUGGUGCCUCUCCUCCAGCACGCAUAACGGUGUGGGCGGAGCAAGCUGCUUCCAGAGGCUGCCUUGCCUCUGGAAAGUGCUGCUGAGCCAUCCCGGUGACACCAUGUGCUGUCUCAGGUGGCAGGCGUGGGCAGUGCCUCUCUCCCACCCACUGACUUGGGAUCCUCCCGCAGGCCAGCCCAUCUUCCACAGAAGCUGCAGCGCUCUGAGGAGCAAGAUCACUGAAAUGAGCUGUUUGUUCUUGCAAGCUGCCAGCAGAGGAUGUCUGCAGUCUGGAGCGGAGGGAGAAGAUGUGUUCAGGAAGCAGGACCUGGGCAGUGCUAGAAUGCACAUCAGGCCUUUCUGCACAUCAGAAGCUCCAGAUGAGUCACCCACAGUGAGUGCCAUUACCUCCAGUGCCCUCAUCAAACACAAAGCUCAUAGCUCUGUGUUGCUUUUGCUAGUACUAUAAUCACCCACUGCAGGCUUUUCUUACAUAACUAGCAAGCCUAUGUUGACUAUGGGUUUAGCAGCUUGAGUUCACUCAUGUUUCCUAUGUUUGCAGCUUCUGUUGGGGUUUCAUAGCUCACCUAACCUGCAAGGGCCAUGAACAAAGUAUGGGAAUAUGCAACCACUUGCUGGCAGAGCAAACAGCUCUCAGACAAGAGGAUUGCUAUUGAAAUGUUGUUUUGUUGGCAGAAUAGGCUUUCCUGGUUGUCCAAGGUGAGCCUGACCUCUGUGGUUGUUGAAGUUCUCUUGUGGGCAAGCUGAGCAAUGCUGGAGUGCAGCUUUUAAGAUGGAUUAACUGUGAACUUAACAAAGGAAACAGUUCAGAGAGAGCAAAACCUUUACAUUGCACUACUAAGGAUGAAACAUAACUUUUGAUCCUGUAGGACAAAAGUUCCAAGGCUGGGAAUAAUUAUUUGAUAGGGUCACAGUUAUCUUGUCAGUGCAGAGUAAUGUUUGCAGCCUCCUCCUAGGAGAGAAUUCUUCCUUUCCAGGUGCAAGAAGGGCAGCAGAGAGGCAGGCAUGUGGCCAGAGGACAGUAACAAAAUCACGUACGCCACCUCACCCCUUCCACCCAGAGCAGGUCCCCACAUGCCAUAUUCUAGACUUUGAACUCAUUAGUCUUGAUGCAGUUUCACAUGCACAAACCCAGAAUUUUGUUACUAAACUGAAAUAAUGUGCACAGGCUGCUCCUAAGAGAUACCAGUCAUGUACCCAAGUAAAAUUCUGAAUUGCUAACUGCAUGCUGGCCUAAGGAUAAACAUGAAUUGAGGUUUCAGGGAAAGGAGGUGUCUGCUUCUGGCUCAGCUCAGUAGCUUCUAGCCACCAUCUGCAAAUCUCUUAGAUAUUUCAUAAAAUGGCAGAUUACUAUCCUUUAACUCUUUCACCAGUGCUGCAGGGCAGAAGUGCUGGAGAUUCACAUGAGCUAAAUGAAGUUUUCUGUUUGAUUGAGGCUGUGAAUUUGGUUGUGGUUUAUUUUAAGAUUAGUUCUUGCACUUUAGGUGUUUAAAACUGUGCUGUGGCAGGUGCUGGCUCUGACUGCAGCUAAAAAAAUCCAGUUUCUCCACAGAUAUUACAGGGAAAUCAGUUUGAAGAUUUUAAUUUUCUGACCUACACAGGUUUUUACUAGGAGGUGCAGCACAGUGCAAGACACUGUGCUUGACUACACAAAUAUAUAUUAAGCCUUGGUACAUUAAGAAUGUACAGAGUAGGAUUACAAGAAUUAGUUACGAAUCACAGACACUUAAAAAUGAAGAAACACUUCUGCAGCCUAAUUCUUGUCUAACAUUCAAAUCUAAAAUGAGAGAGAUUUUAGGUGUCUAAGUCCAAGUGAAAAAGCAAAAAAUCUGAGCUUGGUGCCAGCUAGACCCCUGUGCUCCAGAGUGAUUAUGAACACUUGUUUGACUGGUACAGACAAAGCCUGUGUACAAUCAGGAAAGACACAGUGCCACAAUCAAAACUUCCCUGAUCCUUAUCUUGCCCCUUCAACUUAAUUCCAUAAUCAGCACUUAGAUCACAGAGAGGCUGGAACUAUUAUCCAGGCCUCUCCUUCAGCAUUACAGUAUCUCAAACAAGUCCCUGCCUGUAAGGAUUUGCUUUCUUCAAAACUUUCACCCAGUCCCAUGGUUAACUUAAAUCAGCAAACUGCCAACAAAACUCUGAAGUUUAGAAAUAGCUUAAGCUCAGCCCAUUUCUGCCUUCAGAUCAGUUGGUUUUACAGUUUCCAAGCACCAUCAUUCUGCAUCCAGCUGGCAUCCAUUUGACUACAGUUGCUGCUGCUGGGGGGGCGGGAACCAACCACCCUCGUUGCUGAGUCUUAUCCCGCAAAUUCAGCCGAAAGAAACGAGUGCACGCCAUCUCGUGGCCCUGCACAGCUAUUUCCCGGCAACGAAGGGAGGGAGCUCCAAUUGCGACGAGGUUGGAUGUGGAUAGGAUUUAAAAGGCGGCUUUCAGAGGCUCAGACACAGCCCCACCUUCUGACCCCCCCCAGCUAAGAAACGUUCACCAUUAGUGCUUUGUCCACACUCCUGCCUUGACCUUGCAGCCUGGAGCAGCAGCAGAGCAUCAAACUGCAAAAGGCACUUCUUCAGCACAUGCUCACAUGGCUGUUGAGGCAAACCUGUCCUCACAACAAAUCCAGGGUGCCAGAGAACACAGCCCCCAGAUCAGCUUUUGGUGGAGCAGGAUAUCACUGUAUUCAUUUUAGAGUAGGUCAUACACAUGUAAAUAAUUUUUAAUUACAUGCAAGGCUGAGGAUGUUCAUGGUACAUCUAUUUUCAUCUGCUGUCAGGACUUGUUAAAGAACUCCAUGUGUCAGUGCUUUAAAUAAAGCUAAUGUGCCUGUUCCUAACUGUUCA